AUUGAACGCUGGCGGCAUGCCUUACACAUGCAAGUCGAACGGCAGCACGGGAGCAAUCCUGGUGGCGAGUGGCGAACGGGUGAGUAAAGUAUCGGAACGUGCCCAGUCGUGGGGGAUAACGUAGCGAAAGUUACGCUAAUACCGCAUACGGUCUAUGGAUGAAAGCGGGGGAUCGCAAGACCUCGCGCGAUUGGAGCGGCCGAUAUCAGAUUAGGUAGUUGGUGGGGUAAAGGCUCACCAAGCCGACGAUCUGUAGCUGGUCUGAGAGGACGCACAGCAACACUGGGAGUGAGACACGGCCCAGAGUCCGACGGGAGGCAGCAGUGGGGAAGUUUGGACAAUGGGCGAAAGCCUGAUCCAGACAUGCCGCGUGCAGGAUGAAGGCCUUCGGGUUGUAAACUGCUUUUGUACGGAACGAAAAGGUUUGGCCUAAUAAGCUGAGCUCAUGACGGUACCGUAAGAAUAAGCACCGGCUAACUACGUGCCAGCAGCCGCCGUAA
rnacentral:rRNA from 1 species